rnacentral:tRNA from 1 species
GCACCCUUAGCUCAGCUGGAUAGAGCGUCGGUCUACGGAACCGAAGGUCAGCGGUUCGAAUCCGUUAGGGUGCACCA